rnacentral:rRNA from 1 species
AGCAGCCGCGGUAAUUCCAGCUCCAAUAGCGUAUAUUAAAGUUGUUGCAGUUAAAAAGCUCGUAGUUGAAUUUCGGGAUCAAUACGUCGGUCGUGCUUCGGUACGUACUGGCGUAAUUGAUUUCUCCCUUCUGACGAACCAUGAUGUCAUUAACUUGGUGUCAUGGGAAAUCAGGACUGUUACUUUGAAAAAAUUAGAGUGUUUAAAGCAAGCUAACGCUUGAAUACAUUAGCAUGGAAUAAUGAAAUAGGACGUUCGAUCCUAUUUUGUUGGUUUCUAGGAUUGACGUAAUGAUUAAUAGGGAUAGUUGGGGGGCAUUAGUAUUCAAUUGUCAGAGGUGAAAUUCUUGGAUUUAUUGAAGACUAACUACUGCGAAAGCAUUCGCCAAGGAUGUUUUCAUUAAUCAAGAACGAAAGUUAGAGGAUCGAAGACGAUCAGAUAACCGUCGUA